CAGCAGCCCGAGUGGUGGUCGUUUUUAUUGGGCCUAAAGCGUCCGUAGCCGGUCUAGUAAAUCCUUGGAUAAAUCGUACAGCUUAACUGUACGGCUCCCGGGGAGACUGCUAGACUUGGGACUGGGAGAGGUCGGAGGUACUCCAGGGGUAGGGGUGAAAUCUUGUAAUCCUUGGGGGACCACCAGUGGCGAAGGCGUCCGACUAGAACGGGUCCGACGGUAAGGGACGAAGCCCUGGGGCGCGAACAGGAUUAGAUACCCUGGUAGUCC
rnacentral:rRNA from 1 species